ACGCUCGACACCUACGGGAGGCAGCAGUGGGGAAUAUUGCACAAUGGGGGAAACCCUGAUGCAGCGACGCCGCGUGAGUGAAGAAGUAUUUCGGUAUGUAAAGCUCUAUCAGCAGGGAAGAAAAUGACGGUACCUGAGUAAGAAGCCCCGGCUAACUACGUGUCAGCAGGCCGGGUAAUCUGAGCGGGCUGGACAAGGC
rnacentral:rRNA from 1 species